UACGUAGGGUGCGAGCGUUGUCCGGAAUUACUGGGCGUAAAGAGCUCGUAGGUGGUUUGUCGCGUUGUUCGUGAAAACUCACAACUCAAUUGUGGGCGUGCGGGCGAUACGGGCAGACUGGAGUACUGCAGGGGAGACUGGAAUUCCUGGUGUAGCGGUGGGAUGCGCAGAUAUCAGGAGGAACACCGGUGGCGAAGGCGGGUCUCUGGGCAGUAACUGACGCUGAGGAGCGAAAGCGUGGGGAGCGAACAGG
rnacentral:rRNA from 1 species